rnacentral:lncRNA from 1 species
UGCACCUGUUCACGAACGUGAACGUCGCCGCCUCCCCCUCUGCAAGCAACAAACACGGCCAUCACCUCGCCAUUACCGACCAUCCAUCCAUCCGAACUUGCAACAACAAGAUCACAAAUUCACACCACACCAUUUACCUCGCCAUAAGAUCAAGAAGAGCACAAGAGCCGCCACAGAUCUCGGCAACCCCAUCCCCAUGGCCAUUUCUUGAGGCAAAACACAAUGCAAUGCAAGCACGAGCAAGAAGCGUGCAGUGUCAGAGGCACAGAGCAGAGCAGUGGAGUUACUCCACUUCACUCCCCUCUCCUGCAGUGCACUAAUGGUGUGGGAGAGAGAGAGAGUGUGUGUACAGGCAGCCACCACAAGAGCACCACCACCCCACCACCCUUGGGCUCACAAGGAUGGAGAUGGGGAUGGAGGUGGGAGAAGAG